UACGUAGGGUGCAAGCGUUAAUCGGAAUUACUGGGCGUAAAGCGUGCGCAGGCGGUUAUGCAAGACAGAUAUGAAAUCCCCGGGCUCAACCUGGGAACUGCAUUUGUGACUGCAUGGCUAGAGUGCGGCAGAGGGGGAUGGAAUUCCGCGUGUAGCAGUGAAAUGCGUAGAUAUGCGGAGGAACACCGAUGGCGAAGGCAGUCCCCUGGGCCUGCACUGACGCUCAUGCACGAAAGCGUGGGGAGCAAACAGG
rnacentral:rRNA from 1 species